AAAAAAGUUCAGCACUAGCUGGUUUGGCUCAGUGAAUAGAGCGUUGGCCUGCGGACUGAAGGGUCCCAGGUUCGAAUCCAGUCAAGGGCAUGUACCUUGGUUGUGAGCCCAUCCCCAGUAGGAGGUGUGUAGGAGGCAGCUGAUUGAUAUUU